UAAAGAGUAAUAAGACAGCAGGGUUGGCAGAGGUGUGGUCAGUGUGCAGGGUUCUUUUCUUUUAACAUGAAAGUGCUGUGAUGCUUUUGUGCUUUACAAUGUUAUACUGGAAUAUUCAAACUGGAAUAACAGAGGGAUCCUGAUAUUCAUUCUGUUUCAUCACUGGGCCAGGAUGUUGACCCAGUAUCACCUCCAACACCACGUCAGAGUCUCUGAAGGAGGACACACAGUAUCACUGAUAUGAAGCACCAGAAUCUUUUAAAAAUGUAACUGUGCUACAGGGGGGUAGAUUGCAGUGAGCUGCAGUAAGAACCCACUCAGGACUGAUUAGAGCUCCUCCACAGUGGCCAAGAUCAUCACCAGGAACUGUUAGAAGC